rnacentral:rRNA from 1 species
AGUGAACGCUGGCGGUAGGCCUAACACAUGCAAGUCGAACGGCAGCACAGUAAGAGCUUGCUCUUACGGGUUGCGAGUGGCGGACGGGUGAGGAAUACAUCGGAAUCUACUUUUUCGUGGGGGAUAACGUAGGGAAACUUACGCUAAUACCGCAUACGACCUACGGGUGAAAGCAGGGGAUCUUCGGACCUUGCGCGAUUGAAUGAGCCGAUGUCGGAUUAGCUAGUUGGCGGGGUAAAGGCCCACCAAGGCGACGAUCCGUAGCUGGUCUGAGAGGAUGAUCAGCCACACUGGAACUGAGACACGGUCCAGACUCCUACGGGAGGCAGCAGUGGGGAAUAUUGGACAAUGGGCGCUAGCCUGAUCCAGCCAUACCGCGUGGGUGAAGAAGGCCUUCGGGUUGUAAAGCCCUUUUGUUGGGAAAGAAAAGCAGCAGGUUAAUACCCCGCUGUUCUGACGGUACCCAAAGAAUAAGCACCGGCUAACUUCGUG